CAGUAGCCGCGGUAAUACGUAGGUGGCAAGCGUUGUCCGGAAUUAUUGGGCGUAAAGGGCUCGCAGGCGGUUUCUUAAGUCUGAUGUGAAAGCCCCCGGCUUAACCGGGGAGGGUCAUUGGAAACUGGGAGACUUAGAGUGCAGAAGAGGAGAGUGGAAUUCCACGUGUAGCGGUGAAAUGCGUAGAGAUGUGGAGGAACACCAGUGGCGAAGGCGACUCUCUGGUCCGUAACUGACGCUGAGGAGCGAAAGCGUGGGGAGCGAACAGGAUUAGAGACCCCCGUAGUCCCUGUCUCUUAUU
rnacentral:rRNA from 1 species